ACUCUCGCCUCGUGUCAUUUUACUGCAACUCAAUCUUUCUGCCCGUUGAGUCGAAGUUAGUUGGCCAUUGGAGACUGAGCAGAGGGAAGUGGAUGCGUUUCCCAUCCGAAUACUUACGGAUUGCCUUCUCCUAAGAACAGCUCCAUCUUUCGAAAGGUGUUCACGUGGUUUUCGCCACCUGAACUAUCCAGUCAGGAGCUAGAUCAGGACAUUGCAAAGCCUGGUCAAAGCACCCCGUUCACUCGGACAGCACAUUCUCCUGUUCCUCUGCCGUCGCAGAUCUCGUUGCUCACGUCACACUACCACCGCUGACUAAGAAUGGCCGACCUGAAGUGGCUCUACACGAUCAUCUGGUUCAUCGUCCUGCUCAUUGCCUGGCCCAUCUCCAUGAUGUGCGGCUUUGUGUACACACUGGUGUUGCCCUGCACCGCGUGCUGUGCGGGCACCAGCGACAUCGCCAACUUCUUCCACAAGGGCACGCGGCUGGGCUACGAUGUCACCGCCAAGAUGGUCCAAGGUAGGCCGCUGUGCGAGUCUGGCCCCAGCAAGGCCGUCAAGACGGUAACCACGACAAUCCGAUAGGGUUUUAAACGUCGAAGAUGUAGCAUGCAGCAGGUACCUUCUCUCAACUUGAAACUCAUGUCAACCUCUCUCUAUGAAAAAUAGAAGAGAAAGAACAAGGCAACGAGUUAUGCAGAAACUAUCAAUGAUCUAGAUGCUGUAUAACUCGUUCCCAUGUGUGUUUUUCUUCUGUAUUACAUUUGUUCCUGGCUCAGUAUUCAAGACAUCGUGUCCAUGCUCAGUCCAUGCUCAGUUUUAAAUUUUAAAUUACUGGUCUCUGUAUAUGUAGUACAGUGUGACUUUUUCUUCUUUUUUUUAAUUGGACUUGGAAAUAUCCUUUGAAGAAACCUACCGCGUAGAGCGUCGGUUUAAUAGCUAUUACACCUGUUGGCUGUGUCACCGGAAUCCAACUCUGGCUGUUUAUAGAGAAUUUUGAAAUCUGUUUUCCAUUUUGCCAGGUCCCUUUCACAUAGAAUAAUAUUUAUAGUAUACCAAACGCAGAUUGGGUAGUAUACCAUGCGGGAUUUUUUUGAUCUUUGGCACACAACCACUGUAGUGUCCUGUGACUCCCGUCACCCGUCACUACGUCUUUUUAAUGUUAAUGUACACCACUCCUGGUUCUCAGCUGAGCAUAUUAUACAAUGUGUUGCUUGACCUAAUCAUCAUCAUCAA